rnacentral:tRNA from 1 species
GGGGAUGUGGCGCAACCGGAAGACGCAGCGGGCUUAGACCCCGCGUGUUGUGAGUUCGACUCUCACCAUCCCUACCA